AUUGAACGCUGGCGGCAUGCUUUACACAUGCAAGUCGAACGGUAACAGGCCGCAAGGUGCUGACGAGUGGCGAACGGGUGAGUAAUGCAUCGGAACGUGCCCAGUCGUGGGGGAUAACGCAGCGAAAGCUGCGCUAAUACCGCAUACGAUCUCUGGAUGAAAGCGGGGGACCGAAAGGCCCCGCGCGAUUGGAGCGGCCGAUGUCAGAUUAGGUAGUUGGUGGGGUAAAGGCUCACCAAGCCAACGAUCUGUAGCUGGUCUGAGAGGACGACCAGCCACACUGGGACUGAGACACGGCCCAGACUCCUACGGGAGGCAGCAGUGGGGAAUUUUGGACAAUGGGCGCAAGCCUGAUCCAGCAAUGCCGCGUGCAGGAAGAAGGCCUUCGGGUUGUAAACUGCUUUUGUACGGAACGAAACGGUCCGGGCUAAUACCCUGGGCUAAUGACGGUACCGUAAGAAUAAGCACCGGCUAACUACGUGCCAGCCGCCGCCGUAACAC
rnacentral:rRNA from 1 species